CCAUACAUACGCCCGGCCGCUGUGUCGGUGAUCCCAUCAAACUCGAAUUUAUUUCAAUUUCUGUAUACAUUUCGUCGAACCCGAUCCUACUAUUAUUAAUUUUUCUACAAAAUCAUUAAAAUAUGGUAACCAAUCGGUAAAUCGGUAUGUGCGAGUUACACAAUCGGAGUAUUGAAGAAAAAACAAAUCGUAUAAAACAUAAACUUAGUUAUAGCCA